rnacentral:rRNA from 1 species
AGCUCCAAUAACGUAUAUUAAAGUUGUUGCGGUUAAAAAGCUCGUAGUUGGAUUUCUGUUGGGAGUGAUCGGUCCCCACUCUGUGGGCGUAUCUGACUCGCUUUCGGCAUCCUCCAGUGGCACGUUUCUGUCCUUCAUUGGAUGGAGCGGGACGCUGGACUUUUACUUUGAGGAAAUUCGAGUGUUUACGGCAGGCAAUCGCCCUGAAGAUAUUAGCAUGGAAUAAUAAUAUAGGGCCUUGGUUCUAUUUUAUUGGUUUCUAGAGCUGAGGUA